rnacentral:rRNA from 1 species
GACGAACGCUGGCGGCGUGCCUAAUACAUGCAAGUCGAGCGAAGUUUUUCUGGUGCUUGCACUAGAAAAACUUAGCGGCGAACGGGUGAGUAACACGUAAAGAACCUGCCUCAUAGACUGGGACAACUAUUGGAAACGAUAGCUAAUACCGGAUAACAGUAUUUCUCGCAUGGGAGAUAUUUAAAAGUUGGUUAUGCUAACACUAUGAGAUGGCUUUGCGGUGCAUUAGCUAGUUGGUGGGGUAAAGGCCCACCAAGGCGACGAUGCAUAGCCGACCUGAGAGGGUGAUCGGCCACACUGGGACUGAGACACGGCCCAGACUCCUACGGGAGGCAGCAGUAGGGAAUCUUCCGCAAUGGGCGAAAGCCUGACGGAGCAACGCCGCGUGAGUGAAGAAGGAUUUCGGUUCGUAAAGCUCUGUUGUUAGGGAAGAAUGGAUAUGUAGUAACUAUACAUAUAAGAGACG